CAAGACUCCUACGGGAGGCAGCAGUGAGGAAUAUUGGUCAAUGGGCGCGAGCCUGAACCAGCCAGGUCGCGUGAGGGAGGACGGCCCUACGGGUUGUAAACCUCUUUUGCCGGGGAGCAACGGGCGCCACGUGUGGCGCCACUGAGAGUACCCGGAGAAAAAGCAUCAGAUAACUCCGUGCCAGCAGCCGCGGUAAUACGUAGGGGGCAAGCGUUAUCCGGAUUUACUGGGUGUAAAGGGAGCGUAGACGGAAAGGCAAGUCAGAAGUGAAAGCCCAAGGCUCAACCAUGGGACUGCUUUUGAAACUGUCAAACUAGAGUACGGGAGAGGUAAGAGGAAUUCCUAGUGUAGCGGUGAAAUGCGUAGAUAUUAGGAGGAACACCAGUGGCGAAGGCGCCUUACUGGACCGAAACUGACGUUGAGGCUCGAAAGCGUGGGGAGCAAACAGGAUUAGAUACCCUCGUAG
rnacentral:rRNA from 1 species